UACGGGGGGAGCAAGCGUUGUUCGGAUUUACUGGGCGUAAAGGGCGCGUAGGCGGCGCAACAAGUCACUUGUGAAAUCUCCGGGCUUAACCCGGAGCGGUCAAGUGAUACUGUCGUGCUAGAGUGCGGAAGGGGCUACUGGAAUUCUCGGUGUAGCGGUGAAAUGCGCAGAUAUCGGGAGGAACACCUAUGGGCGAAGGCAGCUCGCUGGGACGUUACUGACGCUGGAGAACGCGAAAGCCGUGGGGGAGCAAACAGG
rnacentral:rRNA from 1 species